rnacentral:tRNA from 1 species
GUCGGAGUGGCGAAACUGGCAGACGCGCUGGCCUUAGGAGCCAGUGGGGUAACACCCGUGAGAGUUCGACUCUCUCCUCCGACA